GUAAAGAGCAAAGGUAAUGGUGGUAUUUCACAAAUGCCUCAGCUUACAGGUACUGAUGAUGAUGACGUGCAAAGCAAGUCCAGUGAGAAGAAAAACAAAAAACGAAAGAGAAAGCAGGUUACCGACCUUCGUUUUGCAGACACGUUGGAGGAAUCAAGUCGACGUUUAAAGAAACGAGAACGUCGGAAAAAAUAUCAGGAGGCGAAGAAAAACAAACAUAAAAAAGCCAACACAGAGGAGGAUCUAGACUUCCCAAAACAUGAAAAAAUAAAAUUUGGAGACGUG
rnacentral:misc_RNA from 1 species